AUUGAACGCUGGCGGCAGGCCUAACACAUGCAAGUCGAGCGGCAGCGGGAAAGUAGCUUGCUACUUUUGCCGGCGAGCGGCGGACGGGUGAGUAAUGCCUGGGAAAUUGCCCAGUCGAGGGGGAUAACAGUUGGAAACGACUGCUAAUACCGCAUACGCCCUACGGGGGAAAGCAGGGGACCUUCGGGCCUUGCGCGAUUGGAUAUGCCCAGGUGGGAUUAGCUAGUUGGUGAGGUAAUGGCUCACCAAGGCGACGAUCCCUAGCUGGUCUGAGAGGAUGAUCAGCCACACUGGAACUGAGACACGGUCCAGACUCCUACGGGAGGCAGCAGUGGGGAAUAUUGCACAAUGGGGGAAACCCUGAUUCAGCCAUGCCGCGUGUGUGAAGAAGGCCUUCGGGUUGUAAAGCACUUUCAGCGAGGAGGAAAGGUUGAUGCCUAAUACGGGGGGCUAAUGACGGUACCGUAAGAAUAAGCACCGGCUAACUACGUGCCAGCCGCCGCUGUAACAC
rnacentral:rRNA from 1 species